UGGGGAAUCUUGCGCAAUGGGCGAAAGCCUGACGCAGCAACGCCGCGUGAGGGAUGAAGGCCUUCGGGUUGUAAACCUCUUUCAGUAGGGAAGAAGCGAAAGUGACGGUACCUGCAGAAGAAGCGCCGGCUAACUACGUGCCAGCAGCCGCGGUAAUACGCAGGUCCCAAGCGUUGUUCGGAAUCACUGGGCGUAAAGGGUGGGUAGGCGGUUUGGUAAGUCAGAUGUGAAAUCCCGGGGCCCAACCCC
rnacentral:rRNA from 1 species